UCAAGUGACUAAGUGCAUGUGGCGGAUGCCUUGGCGAUCACAGGCGAAGAAAGACGCGGCAGCCUGCGAAAAGCUGCGGGGAGCUGGCAAACGAGCUUUGAUCCGCAGAUAUCUGAAUGGGGGAACCCACACCGCAAGGUGUAUCCGUAGCUGAAUACAUAGGUUACGGAGGCGAACGAGGAGAACUGAAACAUCUAAGUAUCCUCAGGAAAAGAAAUCAACCGAGAUUCCGGCAGUAGCGGCGAGCGAACCCGGAGGAGCCCAGCUUUUGAUAGUACGAACUUUAGCCGAAAGGUCCUGGAAAGGCCUGCUAUAGUGGGUGAUAGCCCCGUAGGCGAAAGAGUUGGUACGGUACUAAGGAAGCGAGAAGUAGAGCGGGACACGUGGAAUCCUGUUCGAAGACGGGGGGACCAUCCUCCAAGGCUAAAUACUCGUGAUCGACCGAUAGUGAACCAGUACCGUGAGGGAAAGGCGAAAAGAACCCCGGGAGGGGAGUGAAAUAGAACCUGAAACCGCAUGCAUACAAACAGUAGGAGCCUCAUCAGAGGUGACUGCGUACCUUUUGCAUAAUGGGUCAGCGACUUACAUUCUGUGGCGAGCUUAACCGAAUAGGGGAGGCGCAGCGAAAGCGAGUUCGAAAUGAGCGUCCAGUCGCAGGGUGUAGACCCGAAACCAGAUGAGCUAUCCAUGGCCAGGUUGAAGGUGUGGUAACACACACUGGAGGACCGAACCGACUAGUGUUGCAAAAUUAGCGGAUGAGCUGUGGAUAGGGGUGAAAGGCCAAACAAAUCUGGAGAUAGCUGGUUCUCCCCGAAAACUAUUGAGGUAGUGCCUCGUGUGUCGCUCCAGGGGGUAGAGCACUGUUUUGGCUAGGGGGACAUGGAGUCUUACCAAACCAAGGCAAACUCCGAAUACCUGGAAGCGUGAGCACGGGAGACAGAGCACCGGGUGCUAACGUCCGGACUCAAAAGGGAAACAACCCAGACCGCCGGCUAAGGUCCCAAAUAACAGCUAAGUGGAAAACGAAGUGGAAAGGCCGUGACAACCAGGAAGUUGGCUUAGAAGCAGCCAUCCUUCAAAGAAAGCGUAAUAGCUCACUGGUCGAGUCCUUCUGCGCGGAAGAUGUAACGGGGCUAAGCUGUUAACCGAAGCCGCGGAUGCACUGGUUAUCCAGUGCGUGGUAGGGGAGCGUUCUGUAAGUCUGCGAAGGCGGUUCGAGAGGACUGCUGGAGAUAUCAGAAGUGCGAAUGCUGACAUGAGUAACGUUAAAGCAGGUGAAAAGCCUGCUCGCCGUAAGCCCAAGGAUUCCUGCUCUACGUUCAUCGGAGCAGGGUGAGUCGGCUCCUAAGGUCAGGCCGAAAGGCGUAGCCGAUGGGAAUCAGGUUAAUAUUCCUGAACCUGCGUCAGAUGCGAUGGGGGGACGGAGCAUGGAAGAUCAUCCGGGUGUUGGAAGUCCCGGUUGUUUAGCGUAGGAGGUCUGCAGGCAAAUCCGCAGACGCAUCUCCAAGGCAAAGACACGUGCCGCCACGGCGGCGAAGUGAUCGGAAGUGCUUCCAAGAAAAGCCUCUAAGCCCCAGUCUGACGCGGACCGUACCGCAAACCGACACUGGUGGGCGAGCUGAAUAUGCUCAGGCGCUUGAGAGAACUCGGGAGAAGGAACUCGGCAAAUUGACACCGUAACUUCGGAAGAAGGUGUGCCGUAGUACCGUGAGAGGAGAGACACCUUGAGCGGGAAACGGUCUCAGAGAAUAGGUGGCUGCGACUGUUUAUUAAAAACACAGCACUCUGCAAAGUCGAAAGACGACGUAUAGGGUGUGAUGCCUGCCCGGUGCUGGAAGAUUAAUUGAUGGGGUGAGAGCCCUUGAUCGAAGUCCCAGUAAACGGCGGCCGUAACUAUAACGGUCCUAAGGUAGCGAAAUUCCUUGUC
rnacentral:rRNA from 1 species